AUAUCAAUAAGCGGAGGAAAAGAAACUAACAAGGAUUCCCCUAGUAACUGCGAGUGAAGCGGGAAAAGCUCAAAUUUAAAAUCUGGUCGGUCUUUGCGCCGAUCCGAGUUGUAAUCUUAGAGAAGCGUCUAUUCCGCGCCUGGACCGUGCUACAAGUCUUCUGGAAUGGAGCGUCGAUAGAGGGUGAGAAUCCCGUCUUUGACACGGAUGCAACCAGGUGCUUUUGUGAUGCGCUCUCGAAGAGUCGAGUUGUUUGGGAAUGCAGCUCAAAAUGGGUGGUGAAACUCCAUCUAAAGCUAAAUAUUGGCGAGAGACCGAUAGCGAACAAGUACCGUGAGGGAAAGAUGAAAAGCACUUUGGAAAGAGAGUGUAAACAGUAC
rnacentral:rRNA from 1 species